CCUACGGGAGGCAGCAGUGAGGAAUAUUGGUCAAUGGGCGCGGGCCUGAACCAGCCAAGUCGCGUGAAGGAUGACGGCCCUACGGGUUGUAAACUUCUUUUGUAAAGGAAUAAAGUGAGCCACGUGUGCCUUUUUGUGUGUACUUGAUGAAUAAGCAUCGGCUAACUCCGUGCCAGCAGCCGCGGUAAUACGGAGGAUGCGAGCGUUAUCCGGAUUUAUUGGGUUUAAAGGGAGCGCAGAUGGGAUGUUAAGUCAGUUGUUAAAGUUUGCGGCUCAACCGUAAAAUUGCAAUUGAUACUGGCAGUCUUGAGUACAGAAGAAGUAGGCGGAAUGCGUGGUGUAGCGGUGAAAUGCUUAGAUAUCACGAAGAACUCCGAUUGCGAAGGCAGCUUACUA
rnacentral:rRNA from 1 species